rnacentral:sRNA from 1 species
UGAUCAUCAUGCCUCACUGCCAUUCCUUGCCUAGGGUUCCUGGGGGGCCGAACGCAUGAGAUGCCUUCUGUGAGGUCCAUCUUUUGUUUCUUUCACCAGAGGCUCCUUUCUCACCAAGAAGCAGGACCAGGCAGCCCGGAAGAUCAUGAGAUUCCUGCGGCGCUGCCGACACAGGAUGAGAGAACUGAAGCAGAACCAGGAGCUGGAAGGGCUUCCCCAGCCGGGACUGGCCACAUGACCUGGCCACCGCCUUUCUCACCACGCUGGGGGUGCCUCGUGCAGUCUUAACAGGGAGAGGGCUUUCUGGGGCAGGGGGAGCCCCUGUCGGUAGCUUUCCUGUUCACCUUUGUUGGAGCCCUUUGUAGGCCUCCUCCCUCCUCCCCACGCUUUGCUCCCACACCCCUCUCCUCGUCCCUCCUGGUCGUGCCCCGUCUCUUUUGGUCCUGGCUCCAGAAGACCCGCGCCCCACAUACCUGCAUCUUCCGCUGUGACCUCCGGAGCCCUGCCUGCCCCUGCUCCCCAGCUCCUCCUGCCUGCACCCGACUCGGCCCCCUCCUGACUUGCCUUAUUUAUUUGUUCGACGCGUCUCUGAAUGUAUCCGCCUCAGUUUCCACCACUGCCUUCGCUGCGCACGCCCCUCGUGUUUCAGGGCUGACCGUGUCCCCACCCGACUCCGCAUGUUUGCGUCUGUUUCCUCCCUCUCUGGCCCUGUCUUACCCCAUCACCCGACUCUGGCCACCGACCUCAGGGCCGAAGGGGAGGUGGUGUACAUAGGAACGCGUUGCGGAGUCCGCCCCGUCCCCCGAGGGGAGGGGUCUUGUACAUACUGUAACAUACAGAGUAUAGUGAAGAAUC